GACGAACGCUGGCGGCGUGCUUAACACAUGCAAGUCGAACGUGAUUUUUGUGGAAAUUCUUUCGGGAAUGGAAAUGAAAUGAAAGUGGCGAACGGGUGAGUAACACAUGAGCAACCUACCUUACACAGGGGGAUAGCCGUUGGAAACGACGAUUAAUACCGCAUGAGACUACAGAAUCGCAUGAUAUAGGGGUCAAAGAUUUAUCGGUGUAAGAAGGGCUCGCGUCUGAUUAGCUAGUUGGAAGGGUAAAGGCCUACCAAGGCGACGAUCAGUAGCCGGUCUGAGAGGAUGAACGGCCACAUUGGAACUGAGACACGGUCCAAACUCCUACGGGAGGCAGCAGUGGGGAAUAUUGCACAAUGGGGGGAACCCUGAUGCAGCGACGCCGCGUGAGCGAAGAAGGUUUUCGAAUCGUAAAGCUCUGUCCUAUGAGAAGAUAAUGACGGUACCAGAGGAGGAAGCCCCGGCUAAAUACGUG
rnacentral:rRNA from 1 species